GAACUCCUUUGCUGAGGGCACCUGAGACCUUGGGAAGAGCUUUUUCCUCUCUCAGGUGGCUCCAUUUAGGAACCUGCACCCAGGAGCUGAAGGAGGGAACUGGCUCAGCACUUCCAGGACAAGAGUGGGCACCAUGUGGCUGGGGAAGAGGCUGCAGUCUGCUGGUAGGGCAGAGGUGACAUCAAAAGAGGGAGCUAGACAGGUUUUGUCCUGAAGUGCUGCAACCCGGACACAGGUUGCCCAAAGAAGCUGUCCCAUCCCUGGAAAUGUCCAAAGCCAGGUUGGAUGAGAUUUGGAGCAACCUGGGAUAGUGGAAGGUGUCUCUGAUCAUGGCCCAUGUUCCCACCCAAACCAGCCUGGGAUUUUGUGACCUGGGGAUUUGCUUCUUGCCCUCUAUCACCGGAGGGAGAGCAUUUGUGCAUCUGUGCUGGAGUCACCUAUGGACAAAUAACACAGAGAGAGCUGGGAAAGGGGCUAAGGAUUCAUGAGGGUACCUGGGGAGGGAGCUGGUGUUGUGCAUUUAGGAGAGCUUUAUUUGCAUGUGCACAGCUACUUACAGCCAUAUUCAGAUAAGGUGUGGGAAGCAGUGAGUCCUGCUGGAAAUAACUAGAUCAAGCCUGACAGCCUGAGAGUAAAUCCGUGGCACAGACAGAUAAGGGGUAUUGCUGUUUCCUGGGUUAGGUCCGGAUCCCUGUAACUCUGACAGAUUUUCUAUUUUUUGUGUC